rnacentral:rRNA from 1 species
GUAAUAUAUCGGAACGUGCCCAGUCGUGGGGGAUAACGUAGCGAAAGUUACGCUAAUACCGCAUACGAUCUAUGGAUGAAAGCGGGGGACCGUAAGGCCUCGCGCGAUUGGAGCGGCCGAUAUCAGAUUAGGUAGUUGGUGGGGUAAAGGCUCACCAAGCCAACGAUCUGUAGCUGGUCUGAGAGGACGACCAGCCACACUGGAACUGAGACACGGUCCAGACUCCUACGGGAGGCAGCAGUGGGGAAUUUUGGACAAUGGACGCAAGUCUGAUCCAGCCAUUCCGCGUGCAGGAUGAAGGCCCUCGGGUUGUAAACUGCUUUUGUACGGAACGAAAAGGUCUCUAUUAAUACUAGGGGCUCAUGACGGUACCGUAAGAAUAAGCACCGGCUAACUACGUGCCAGCAGCCGCGGUAAUACGUAGGGUGCAAGCGUUAAUCGGAAUUACUGGGCGUAAAGCGUGCGCAGGCGGUUAUGUAAGACAGAGGUGAAAUCCCUGGGCUCAACCUGGGAACUGCCUUUGUGACUGCAUAGCUAGAGUACGGUAGAGGGGAAUGGAAUUCCGCGUGUAGCAGUGAAAUGCGUAGAUAUGCGGAGGAACACCGAUGGCGAAGGCAAUCCCCUGGACCUGUACUGACGCUCAUGCA